rnacentral:rRNA from 1 species
CGUACACUCCUGCGGGAGGCAGCAGUGGGGAAUCUUGCGCAAUGGGCGAAAGCCUGACGCAGCCAUGCCGCGUGAAUGAUGAAGGUCUUAGGAUUGUAAAAUUCUUUCACCGGGGACGAUAAUGACGGUACCCGGAGAAGAAGCCCCGGCUAACUUCGUGCCAGCAGCCGCGGUAAUACGAAGGGGGCUAGCGUUGCUCGGAAUUACUGGGCGUAAAGGGAGCGUAGGCGGACAUUUAAGUCAGGGGUGAAAUCCCGGGGCUCAACCUCGGAAUUGCCUUUGAUACUGGGUGUCUUGAGUAUGAGAGAGGUGUGUGGAACUCCGAGUGUAGAGGUGAAAUUCGUAGAUAUUCGGAAGAACACCAGUGGCGAAGGCGACACACUGGCUCAUUACUGACGCUGAGGCUCGAAAGCGUGGGGAGCAAACAGGAUUAGAAACCCUAGUAGUCCCAU